AAUAAUAAUAAUAAUUCCUUAAACCGAUCUAUGCUAACAUGGAGUAACACAGCACAUGAAUAUCACAAUAAUCAAGCUCAAAUCGACCGUUUCAAGAUCGAAGCUUAGUUUGAACAUUUUGUCGAACACUUGGUAUGCAUUAAACUAGCCCCAAUCAGCUUCCUCGGGCCAUGUUUGCGGUCUUCAAUCUCAACUCAUGAGCAAUAUUAUGUGGAACUAAAACAUCAAGGUUAAACUACAACAUGCAAGGAGUAAGAUAGAUAAAAAACACAGCUUAAAACACACGAAAACCAAGCUGGAAUCGUCAUCAAAUAUGCGGGUUUGAUCUGAUUUUGCAAAUCUGGGUUUGAACCCAAGUCAAGCAAACAGGUUGAGUGCCCAUAUUCAAGCCCCGACACCUAUCACAUACGAGAUCUAAGGGAAACAUUACUUGAUCCGAAUGAAAGUAGGUAACAUGAGCUUUCAAAUGCAAUAAACAUCACAGAGAAUGACGCACCGAACAACAUCAAAACGACCUCUCCAAGAAGCACACAUGCAACACUUAGAAAAAUUUCAACCUCAGAAAUCAGUUUUCCGGGCCGGUUUUCCUCUUGAUUUUCAUGAUCAAAACAUGCUCAAACUCGAAAAUAAAUACACCUAGGGUGCUUACCUUUCUUCCUAGUUUCUUUUUCAAGUGGUUCUUGGCCGAUGAAACCGACAAAUUAUCCUCGGGGGCCUGUGGAAGUUGGCUUCUUCAACUGGAAAUGAGAUCUGCAAAAAAACGAACUGACAACGAAGGUUUUCGUUGAGCUCUAACAUUAGACUUCAAGACGUAUUUUGUUGGAAAAAUUGACACCACGCCAAACUAUAUGUAUUCUAGUCUGGGUUAAAAGUCAAUAUUUUCCUCAUUUGUCUCUCAACUUUCUCAAAAACACUGGCUUUCCUCACUCGUGACCAACCAGUCUCGACACUUAGAAAAAUUUCGGACUUUCUUGGCCCGACAGGAGGGCACUGUUUCGGGGGGCUUUAGGAGGCCUUCCCGAUCUCCAUUUUGGACGUGCGACCUAUGGAUGGA
rnacentral:lncRNA from 1 species